rnacentral:rRNA from 1 species
UCUUUGACACGGACUACCAGUGCUAUGUGAUGCGCUCUCGACGAGUCGAGUUGUUUGGGAAUGCAGCUCAAAACGGGUGGUAAAUUCCAUCUAAAGCUAAAUACAGGCGAGAGACCGAUAGCGAACAAGUACCGUGAGGGAAAGAUGAAAAGAACUUUGGAAAGAGAGUUAAACCGUACGUGAAAUUGCUGAAAGGGAAACGCUUGAUGUCAGUCGCGUCGGCCGGGGAUCAACCUCGCUUUUCGCUGGGUGUAUUUCCUGGUCGACGGGUCAGUGUCGGUUUCGGUCGCCGUACAAGGGCGAGGGGAACGUGGCACUCUCCGGAGUGUGUUAUAGCCCUUCGUCGCAUGCGGUGGUCGGGACCGAGGAACUCGGCACGGCUUCGGCCUGUGCUUAGGAUGCUGGCAUAAUGGCCUUAAGCGACCCGUCUUGAAACACGGACCAAGGAGUCUAACAUGCCUGCGAGUGUUUGGGUGGCAAACUCGAGCGCGAAAUGAAAGUGAAAGUCGAGACCUCUGUCGUGGAGGGCACCGACGCCCGGACCCGAGUCUUUGACGAAGGAUCUGCGGUAGAGCAUGCAUGUUGGGACCCGAAAGAUGGUGAACUAUGCCUGAAUAGGGUGAAGCCAGAGGAAACUCUGGUGGAGGCUCGUAGCGAUUCUGACGUGCAAAUCGAUCGUCGAAUUU